AAAGGGCUAAACAAGGUGACAAACUCUCAGCUUCCACCGAAUUCUGAGAGAAGACAUUGACAGAGGUGUCUCUUGAAAAUGGCUAUAAAACUUCUUGUCAAAUUGGAGUACUUUGGAAUAUUUAGGAAAAGUUGGCAGAGAGGAGACAGGACUAAAGUGCAGCUCCCACUUGGAUGAACUGAACAGUGUGUGGAGACUCACAUUGUGAAUUUUUGCUCCAAGAACUACCUCAGGAACAUACCAGAAAAACCAAAAGAAUUCACAGACCCUUUGAAAAAAGUGGCUUGCCAGUGCAAACUCCAUGAGACAGCUGAAAAACUGUGCUCUCUGUACACAGAGGGUUUUGUCUGUUUGGUCACCGAUAUAUCUUCAGUGCCCAGAACAGUGCAUGGCAAUGGCAGACUCUCAACUGAUGGUUUAAAGAGGUUGUCUUUUCCAAGGCCCAUCACCUGCUUCACAGAAUUUUCAGCUCUUUUGACAAUUUCCAAGACAAGGGAUGAGUUCCAGCCACCAUGUCAUGAGGAGACCCUGGAUACCCCAGCUCAGAGCCUAGAGUGAGUAUUUGCAUUGAAGAGGAAACGUCGUAUAUUUGAAAUUUUCCAUUUUCUAGACUAUGCUUUGGGUCUUCAACUUCCACGCCAACACCAGAGGAUAAGUAUUUGAGACCCCCACAUUGGUCAUCCAACUAUGAAAAAAUUCUCAUUUUAAGCAUAUACAGCUUAAAAAAAGAAUCAACUUCAUGUAUUUGGAAAACCGUAAGUGCCAUCUUCCAUCAUUCAAAAAUGUCUGUAACAGACCAGCAUUAUUGACAGUUCUGAGCUAGACCGAAGGAACUCUUUUCUAUGACUUCAACAGAAAUAUUUUGUUAUUACAAUGUUUGCAAACAUUUUUAAGGUAUUGUUCAGUCAAAUGAUAGUCCCUAUAGCUUGCAACUCAAAAUAUCAUGGUGGUGAAAUACUCAUUAGUCACCUGCUAUAACUUCAAUGGAAUGUGCUAGGACACGGAGUUUGUAAAAGCAGAUAUUGUCUUGUUAAGCUGUCAGGUCCCAUAAUGUACAGCCUCACGCAAGGACACUGUCAUCAGGAAAAAGGCUUAGAUUAUGUGCUCCAAGUACACCAAGAAACUGGUUUCUGGAAACCCGACUUUUCAAUGAACGCUUGUUAAAGCAGAGUUAAUGUGUUUCCUACUGUUAUAACAAUGACGUGUGAGUCACAUAUGUGGUUUCGAGAUUCCUAAACUGGAUCUGCCUGGCUGCUGAUGUAAUCAGAAAUAACCUCUGGCUGUUUGAGACUAUAAUAUUCUGGAGGAAAACUGCCCAGCUGAUGCAACUGCUGAUUUUUGUUAACGCUAUCACCAACAUUCCCAGCAUUCAAAAUUCUUUAAGAUAUUAUUAUUCAUUAAUACUUUGUUUUAGAUAUUAUUAUUCAUUAAUACUUUGUUUUCAUUUGGAAAAUUUAUUUACUAUCAAAGCAAAAUAUUUUUGGGAUUCAGCCUGUAAAUUUAUCUUAAUUCUCACUGUCCUCACUGUCUGAAGGUCCUUUGUUAUUGGGGAAAAGAAUGUGGGGUUAGGUGUCAGGCAGAUUUGCACUUGAAUUUCAGCUCUGUCACUUACCUGUGUGAUUUCAGAGAGGUUACUGAACCUCUCUGAGCCUUGAGUUUCUAAUUUGGAAAAACAGGAAAUUAUUCCUAUCUCACAAUGUUCUGAAAAUAAAGUUAGACAUAGAGCAGCAUUUGGAAAAACAAGAGAGUACAACAUAGACAACCAGGUAUUUGGACCUAGGCUUGCCUCUAGGGAGCCUGGCUUGAUGAAUCUGCUGGGUUUUGAGCCCUGUGGGCCCUCCAGCUGGGCUGUCCUCCCCAAGCCCUAAACAAGGGAUUCAUUCAAACUCCCUAGGUCUUCACAGAAAGCAAGAGAAAAAUGAUGAGAGGAGGUUGUUGAGCCAGUUGCUUGCAAGAGCAGUCUUUCCUAUGGGAUGCCAUCAGUCAGUUGUUAAGUUUACAAAGCAGCAGGAAUAUGUAACUGAGAAUUUUGACUUUCAAAAUUUCUAUGAGCAGCCUCUUGGUAUCAGAACAAGAAGAUGGCAGUUGUGAAAGGAAGAAGAUCAUGAAAAUGCUGCAAUUUCAGAGGGGCAGAGAUCAGGGCAGAAAAAGAAAUCAUAAGCUUCCUGACACCUGAGGCUGAUUCGUUAAGCAGGAAAGAGGAGGAUGCUUACAAGGUGUUUCAACCACCAGGGACCCAAAAGGUGGGAGUGUAAAUUAGUUCAACCAUUGUGGAAGACAGUGUGGUGA
rnacentral:lncRNA from 1 species